rnacentral:tRNA from 3 species
AGAAAUUUAGGUUAACAAGACCAAGAGCCUUCAAAGCUCUUAGUAAGUAAAUUAUACUUAAUUUCUG